rnacentral:rRNA from 1 species
GACGAACGCUGGCGGCGUGCUUAACACAUGCAAGUCGAACGGUGAAGCGCCUUCCUUUUUGGUGAGUGUGGAUGAGUGGCGAACGGGUGAGUAACACGUGAGUAACCUGCCCCCUUCUUCUGGAUAACCGCAUGAAAGUGUGGCUAAUACGGGAUAUUCUGGGUCUGUCGCAUGAUGGGUCUGGGAAAGAUAUUGUUUCGGUGGGGGAUGGGCUCGCGGCCUAUCAGCUUGUUGGUGGGGUGAUGGCCUACCAAGGCGGUGACGGGUAGCCGGCCUGAGAGGGUGGACGGUCACACUGGGACUGAGACACGGCCCAGACUCCUACGGGAGGCAGCAGUGGGGAAUAUUGCACAAUGGGCGCAAGCCUGAUGCAGCGACGCCGCGUGAGGGAUGGAGGCCUUCGGGUUGUGAACCUCUUUCGCCAGUGAAGCAGGCCUGCCUCGUUUGUGGGUGGGUUGAUGGUAGCUGGAUAAGAAGCGCCGGCUAACUACGUG